UUGGAGGGGUGUGUGUGUGUGUGUGUGUGUGUGUGUGUGUGUGUGUAUAGCAACUCAUCUUUUAUUUUUAAGGGAGUGCUCACUUGAGAGUGCAGCAAUCACUUAGAUUUCUACAGAGCUAUUUAGGAGAAAAGUGAGUGUGAGCAAGUUAAGCUGUUCCUCCAGUUCACUAGCAGGUUCAUCAAAGCAUUAACUGGAGGAAAUUCUGACUGGGGUGCAACCUGAUUUUUCAGAGAAUGUUGACAAGUCUUCUCAGGGACCAGUGUCAAUGUUUUCAAGCUUCACAGGAGAGCCAGAAGAACCCAGACACAGACUUCCCAGCUAUAAAGUAGGAGAGAGACCUGUUAAAGCCAAGAACUGCCUAACACCAAAUAUUAACCAGUGGAACUGUGGCUGCUUGGAAUGCCCCUUCCCUUUGCCAUCCACUUGACCUGACUAUUCCUGAUGGUUCUUCCAAGACCUCUUCAAACCCAGGGUGAGUGGCUCUUCUGUGUGUCCCUGGGGCACUG
rnacentral:lncRNA from 1 species